rnacentral:rRNA from 1 species
AAAGGAAUUGACGGGGGCCCGCACAAGCGGUGGAGCAUGUGGUUUAAUUCGAUGCAACGCGAAGAACCUUACCAAGGCUUGACAUCCCUCUUGAUUAUGUAGAGAUACAUAAGCCCUUCGGGGGAGAGGUGACAGGUGGUGCAUGGUUGUCGUCAGCUCGUGUCGUGAGAUGUUGGGUUAAGUCCCGCAACGAGCGCAACCCUUGUCUUCAGUAGCCAGCGCGUUAAGGCGGGCACUCUGGAGAGACUGCCGUGGAUAACACGGAGGAAGGCGGGGAUGAGGUCAAAUCAUCAUGCCCUUUAUGUCUUGGGCAACACACGUGCUACAAUGGCUGUAACAAAGUGAAGCAAACGCGCGAGCGCAAGCAAAACACAAAAAGGCAGCCUCAGUUCGGAUUGUAGUCUGCAACUCGACUAUAUGAAGCUGGAAUCGCUAGUAAUCGCGAAUCAGCAUGUCGCGGUGAAUACGUUCCCGGGCCUUGUACACACCGCCCGU